AACGAACGCUGGCGGCAUGCCUAACACAUGCCAGUCGAACGAGACCUUCGGGUCUAGUGGCGCACGGGUGCGUAACGCGUGGGAACCUGCCCUUAGGUUCGGAAUAACUCCCCGAAAGGGGUGCUAAUACCGGAUAAUGUCUUCGGACCAAAGAUUUAUCGCCUUUGGAUGGGCCCGCGUUGGAUUAGCUAGUUGGUAGGGUAAAAGCCUACCAAGGCGACGAUCCAUAGCUGGUCUGAGAGGAUGAUCAGCCACACUGGGACUGAGACACGGCCCAGACUCCUACGGGAGGCAGCAGUGGGGAAUAGUGGAAAAUGGGCGAGAGCCUGAUCCAGCAAUGCCGCGUGAGUGAUGAAGGCCUUAGGGUUGUAAAGCUCUAUUACCCGGGAUGAUAAUGACAGUACCGGGAGAAUAAGCCCCGGCUAACUCCGUG
rnacentral:rRNA from 1 species